CCCCCGGGCGUCGAUGAAUGUGGGGUACCAUUCCUUGAUGAUGUGGUCAUGUUUGUAGUCGGCCUUAUUGUCCUUUAGAUGUUCCACGGUGUUCCGCUCGCUCUUCUCAUAGGCCUCCCGGGGCUUCCGGACAGACACCUUGCAUUCUCGGACCUUGUUGACGAUGAAUUCUUGGAUGAGAAACCUGAUAUCUUCCAUGAGGCAGUCAUCAUAAAGAAGUCUGAAUAUCUUGGUUGAGAGCUAGACUUUGGAAACAGAGAGACCCUGUAUAAUAACAGACUAAGAAGUAAGGAAGACAAGCCCAGCCAGUCCCACAACUAUUUCAUUAAUACCAGGUAAAGCAACAGACCUGCCAGUGAAGCAUCUUGGAUCCUUUAGCUUUAGAAAAUCAGCUCUGUUACAUCUGCCGCCUCCUGUGAGCACAAGGCACAGAAAGUAGACCCUGUAACCCUCAGAGGGCCUGAAGGAAAGCGAUGCUGGUGUGACCUGCCCAAGAGGAUGGUGCCCAAGGCAGAGCAUUCUAGACCCUCAUAGGCAACAGAGCCAGGAAUGGAAGUGAGGAUACAGAGAAUGCACAAACGGGAACCAUGUGAGGACAGUGAGAAGGUGGCCAUCUACAAGACGAGAUGAGAGGCCUCAGAAGAAAGAAACCAAAUCUACAGACACCUUGAUCUUCAACUUCUGGCAUCCAAAACUGUCUGAGAAGGAUGCCAGACACCUGACAGGCACUCAAGCAUUUGAUGAAUGAACAAAAUGUUGUUGUGACCUAUUCCAAUCCUGAGCAUGUGUUUGCACAGUCAUUCUAGAUUCAUUUAGGGGUACUGGUUCCAGAACUAGAAUCCAAAGUGAAUUAUGAGUAUAACAUCAGGGUUUUGUUUCUCUGUCUCUCUCUCUCUGUUUCUCUCUUUUUCUUUGUCUAUUCUGAGGUAGUUGAUUGGUCUGCGAAGGGUAAAAUAUGGCAAAAAUGAUUUCCAUUUGGUGUUUGUAAGUUAUUUCAAAGACAUAGCAGCUUGAGAAUAAAAAUUCUUUUUUUCUUUCUCAAGUCUGAUGUUCAGCUGUUUAGUGGAUGUAACAUGAAUUUCUUUUGAGUCUCCUUCUUUCAUAUAAUCUUUGAAUCUUAAAAAGUAUGUCAAGAGUCUCU
ensembl:lncRNA novel transcript